UACGAAGGGGGCGAGCGUUGUUCGGAAUUACUGGGCGUAAAGGGCGCGUAGGCGGCCGAUCAAGUCAGAUGUGAAAGUCCUGGGCUUAACCUGGGGACUGCAUUUGAUACUGAUUGGCUUGAAUGCAGGAGAGGAUAGCGGAAUUCCCAGUGUAGAGGUGAAAUUCGUAGAUAUUGGGAAGAACACCGGUGGCGAAGGCGGCUAUCUGGACUGUGAUUGACGCUGAGGCGCGAAAGCGUAGGGAGCAAACGGG
rnacentral:rRNA from 1 species